GUUACUGCUUUCUCUACAGGGAUACCCUCUAACCAAAUAUUGAACCUGCUGAGUGGAGGCAUUGAGUCAUUCUUUCAACAUUUCUGGAUCUAAUACAAUAAAAGGACUCAUGGAAGAAUUGAAGAGAAAAAAAGUAGAGUCCAUUGUAAUAAGAGGAGACCAAUUUCCUUCUGUAUUGCCAUGCCAUAGACACGCAAAGGCCCGGGCAGAAGGAAGUCCUUUCCCAGUCAGUCACUCAGUCAGUUGGUCCUCGGUGGAACCCGUUCUGAAGUAUGCACAUUAUGUCAUUAGCAUGUUGGCAAAUAUAAAGGGCCCAAAGUUUUGUUAAA